GAUAUGUAUAUUUUAUAAUAUCGAUAAAUUAUGUAUGUAUGUAUGUACAUACGUAUGUAUGAUAGUAUGUAAAUAUUUGAUGUAACUUUUAUUCAAUAUAUAGAUAUUAAACGGGUUAUUGGGUAACCCGAUUAUUUUUUCGUGUCGGGUUUGGGUCUCAAUAUUUUGACACAAUUAUUAAAUGGGUCGGGUUUGGGUCGACCUAAAUUUAACACGACUCGAUGACCCAUUUUGCCAGCUCUAGUAUCCAUUACUUGUGUAAAGUGAAUAAGAAACACAAGACCUGCAUUAUAUAUCGCUCUAAAUUUCGCCGAUGCUCCAGGAAUCCAAAUCACUUUGUUGAAGCCAAUAAAAGGUUAGUCUCUUACAAUUUUUUUUUUUUGGCCUAAUUUUGGAGCGUUUUGAUACUACUCUAAAUGAAAAAUGUCGAGUGGGUGCUUGAUUUCUUGUUAAUUGACAUGGUUUUGAUGAGAUUUGUAGAACUGUGGAGUAAAUUUGUUUACUUUAAAGUAAUAAUACUCUUAUCAUAGCAUAUGUUAUCAAACAAUAUUAUAAGUCCAUAAACUGUUAAAGACAUUUUCAACUUUUAUUUAGAAAUACAAGAAAAAAAACUUAUCCAGAUGUACUUAAUCAUUUAUAAAAUAUUUGUUUCGGAAAUCAUUUUUUUCACGAUUGUUUGUUGAAAAUAGAAAACUAACUUUGAGAAACAAUACUAAACACCCUUGAAUAUUAUUUAAUGUUGUAAUGUAAUUAAUGAAUUAUCUUCUCACUUGUUUUAGGCUGAUUUGCACAUUGCUAUUAUAGUCACAUAUUAUUUGCAUUUAGUAUUUAUUACAUUUUAACUUUUUCUUUAAUAUAUGUAUCAUUUAUUUAUGUUAUUUUAUGGUAUUGCAGUGUGGUGUAUUAUGAUGUUGAAGUAGUAUUUUGGUUUAUAUGAUUUAUUAUUAGGGUUACAAUUGUCUUUUUAUUUGUUGAAUUCAAUUGUAAAUAACCCAUAUUUAAGGGUAAUAUUAUGGUUGUUAUAAACUUGGCGCCAAAUGUUUCAGAUGUGUACAAAUCCAACCGGGGACAUUUUAGAAUUUUUAACUUUCACUAACAGUCAAUCACAAAAAUUAACUGACGGUAGAGAAAAUUUUCACUAAUAAAUGAAUCUUCGUCACCUAACUGCAAAAAAUAAAAAACCCAAGAAAUCAUGUUUUCUUUUAAUCUAAUCGAAGAAAGUAGUGAAGGGUGCUGUGCUUAGACCAAAUUAGCUGAUGGGAUGUGCCAAAAGAUAAAAGAUUUGAGGUCACGUAUCAACCAAUCGGAUCCACGUCCAAUUGUAAAAUUUUGUUCUUUGAGGUGAUAAUGAUAUUUUUAGCAUGUUGGGGGGCGCAUAUUCAUUCAAUAGAUAUAAGAGAGCUCAGCCAAUGACGUUGCGUAGUUUUAUUCUGAUGAGAGUAUUUAUUUCGGAGGAAAAAGUAGCGCGCAAAUUAGAUGCGUGCAACAAAUACUUAUACUAGAGCCGAAUAAUAUUCCUUCGCAGGUCACGUCAAUACUUCAAAGAUUUCUGGAGUUCCUUUUUGCUUCUCUGUUUUCACUGUCUCCUCCUAUGAAAGAGAGUAAAUUAUUAUGGCCAUGCCCAAAAAGCUACUGUAGAAUUAUAUUAAUACAAUACCCAAGUUUAAUUUAUAAAAUAUAAAUUCAUAUAUUAGAAUUAAUCAUCUCUUCAUAAAAAUAUUUCCUUAAAAAA
rnacentral:lncRNA from 1 species